ACACCCAAAUCCUGACCAUUCCUUGAUGCUUUGUGCUGGUGUGGGGACAGAUGGUGCGACAGUACCAGCAGUGGAUAACCAGACGGGACAUUUCCAUUUGUUUUGCUUGAGGCUGUCUCUACAACUCUGCCACAUUA
ensembl:snoRNA